AUGGUCGCAAACCACCCCUGGCAGAGGAAUUGCAGAUUACAGUACAAGCUGCCCCUGGGGGUAACUAUGAGUAGUGCCUACAAAUGUCAUUCUGUCUUUGCCAAAAGUUUUAAUAUGCCCCAAGUAUUUUCUUUUGAAAGGGUGGGUUCAUUUCUUGAAAAAUGCCAAUUAAAGAAAAAGAAAGAAACAUGGGAGUCCAACACCAGGGGAACAAUUCAGAAAGUUUUACAGCACUUCCUCUCCAGGAUGUAUGCCGAAAUCUUUUAAGGGAAAUUAUAAACAUCGUGAGGUGGAGUGCCCCCAGGAGGGUGCCAGGCCAGGCGAAGAUGCUCUGCUAUUCUAAAUACGUUCCAGGGGCCAUGCAGACUUGGACAAUAAAAAUAAUGGACUGAAGAUCGGAAGUAUGUACCCUAUUUUCUGAGCAGUGCCUAAACCUCCCAAGCUCUUAUGUGACCCUAGAGAGAGGAAGCCCAUAACGACAGGGAUUUAAUUUCUCCAGUCUGGCAAUCUCAGGGGCAGAGCGAAGGCAGUGUAGGCAAUACACAGCAAUGGUUUACACCCUCGAAUUCUGGAAUCUACCCGCUGUGCCAUGUUGAACCCAUCUUGCUUUUCCUUCUCGCAGGUACUUUCCGCCACGCUCACCCUUCGUGACGAAUUUACUGAGCGCCCGCCCGCAGGCCAGGGCCGUGAGAAGCAGAGAAGGAAAACACCAACUCCUUGCCCUAUAGGACUUAAUAGCUAACUCAUAGACACUGUUGUCGCUCAGCUGUCAAACAACACUACCAAAUGGGUGCUAUUAUCAGCAUCUCUGGCGGAUGAAGAAACUGAGGCAUAACCAAGGCCGCCCAGAGCGCCCAGGUGGCUCAGCGUUUAAGCAUCUGACUUCUGCUCAGGUCACGAACUCACCGUUUGUGGGUUCACACUGAGUGAGUUUGAGCCCCGCAUCAGGUAGAAUACAAGGCCCACUUCAGGUGAGGCCCAGCUUUCCCUACCCCCCCCCCCUUUCUCUCUCUCUGUCCCUCACUCACUUGCGCCCUCUGAAUAAAUAAAUAAAUAAAUAAAUAAAUAACCAAGGCCACCCAAAGUAGUAAGAGGCAGGGUUUUGAAUCUGGGCUGUCAGGUUCCUGAAUCCACACUGUUGGCCACAAACCAUAUCGCCCAUCUAGUUUAGUGAGGGAUGGACAGGUAAAUAAAUAAUUCACACAGAGCACAAUGGUCGAAGCACGAAGUACCAUGGCAGCACAAGAAGGAGACCCUGACAGCUCAGGAUCUGAGGAGGGAUGGGGAGAGAGGUAUCUCCUGAAUGAGAUGACACCUGGACAGCGCUGGAAAGCAUGAAUCGGUGCCAGCUGGGAACAGAAGAGAGGGGAGAGAACUCUGGCCACAUAAGCACGGUAUUGGGAAGUGGGGGCGGGGCCUAAACACCAUAGCGUCACUAGAGAAUAAAAUGCCAGGGGGGAGGUGGGACACAGUUUGCUCGACAAAUGUUUGUUGGGCCUCUUAUAUGUGCAGGACUGUGCUUAUUGCCGAGGGUAUAGCAGGGACAGGGUGUCCAAGGAGCCUGAACUUGAGCUUUCGAACAUUUUGCUCCCCUAACUUACUAAAGUAACUCUAAAACUACCCCCAUGCGAAACAUUCAACACACUGGAAAAGGAAGGGAACUUCCUCAAUCUGAUAAAGGGCAUCUCUGAAAACCCCCACAGCUAACAUCGUAUUUAAUGGUGAGAGACUGAAUGCCUUCCCUGUAAGGUCAAGAAUAAGACAGGGAUGUCCGCUCUUACCACUUCUCUUCAGUAUUGAACUGGAGGUUCCAGCUAGAGUCACUAGGCAAGAAAAUCAAAUAAAAGCAAACAAAUUGGAAAGGAAAUUGACACUUUACAAUAAGAGUGUUACAGGGGCACCUGGGUGGCUCAGUUGGUUGGGAGUCUGACUCUUGAUUUUGGCUCGGGUCAAGAUCUCAUGGUAGUGGGAUCGAGCCCCCGCCUCAUCAGGCUCCGCGCUGAGUGUGGAGCUUGCUUGGGAUUCUCUCCCUCUCACUGCCCCCUCUCACCGCGCGUGCUUUCUCAAAAUAAAUAAACAUUUUUAAAAAUAAAAGUGUUACAUCAGCUUUGAAUGCCAUCCAGCGGAGUUUAAAUACUACAGCAGUUUGAUGCCCACCAUCAUCCAUUUAUAUGUAAAUAAAGUAAAACGACUUUGUUAACUACAAGAAACGCUACGUUAUUCCUUUUUCUCCUUGAAUUUGCGUUUUUAUUCCAUUUUACUCUUGCAGAAGUUUAUCCUCAAGUAGUGUAAUUUUAUGCCUGAAAGUUCUUAUUGAUCAUCCUAUGAUAAUUCUUU
rnacentral:lncRNA from 1 species